rnacentral:rRNA from 1 species
GACGAACGCUGGCGGCAUGCCUAAUACAUGCAAGUCGAGCGGAGUUAUGAUGGAGCUUGCUCCUGAUUAACUUAGCGGCGGACGGGUGAGUAACACGUAGGCAACCUGCCCUCAAGACUGGGAUAACUUCGGGAAACCGGAGCUAAUGCCGGAUAACAUUUGGAACCGCAUGGUUCUAAAGUAAAAGAUGGUUUUGCUAUCACUUAUAGAUGGACCCGCGCCGUAUUAGCUAGUUGGUAAGGUAACGGCUUACCAAGGCAACGAUACGUAGCCGACCUGAGAGGGUGAUCGGCCACACUGGAACUGAGACACGGUCCAG